rnacentral:lncRNA from 1 species
CUACUACCUGCAAUGUUAGUUGUGAAUCUUCUCUUUGGGUCAUACAACUUCUGGAUGAUCACUUUUUUGCUUACUGUAAUAACAUAGCUUUCUGAGGCACAAGCACUUCGGUAAUCUUUAAAUAUCACAAGCUGACUUCAGCCUUCUUUUCUAAGGAGUAUACUGUGCACUAUAAUCAGGGCAAAUGUAACUGCUGGUUAUAACAUUGGAGGAGCAAUCUUUUAUAGUCACAAGGAAGGCAAAGUUUCUUAAGAUGAUCUUGUACAGAUGGAGUGGCAACCAUUUGGGGUUACAUAUAAGCUGCCCUAAGAGGAUAUUCACCAUGAAAGUCCGGCAGACCUAAACCGUGUUGGUGCCAAUGAAAGUUGCAAGGGGUAAACUGAAUAACUGAGUUCGUUAAGUGGGGUGAAUAAUAUGUCCCUUUCCUCAUCUUAGUGGCUUGGGUAUGAAGUCACUGUGGAGACGUGUAUCAACUAAUUCAGAAGCACAUCCUAUAUCAGUAAAUUAUAUGGUACUGUGCUUUUUGAGGGAUUACAGUCUUACGCGAGGACUGGGAACGUGUGACAGAAAUAGCGUGAUGUUUUUCCCCCGUUUCAUGUUAUUUCAAAUAGUGUCCAGUAUAAAAGAGAAAUAAAACACAUGUGAGAAUUGUUUGGCGAUUUUCUUCUGAAAGUGCAGCUGAAGUUUUAGCUUUUUACUUUAUCAUCUUCCCUGCACACUGUUUUUUUUUUCAGCCUGGUUCCUAAAUUGAGUGGCUGGUGAGGCAGAUAAGCACACACAGAGGAACAGAGCAUGGAGGUCUUGCUGCGUGAAAGGAUUGCAUCUCAGCAGAAAAGUGCUAUGAACUCUCUGGAUCAGUUCCCUAUAGGAAUCUGGGCAAAUCCCUUCAAUCAAGGGGCUGGUCCUGUCCAAGCGGUGUGGCAGUUUCUCAGAUCGCUGGAGUGUGGGGCUAGCGCUUUCCCAGGAGAAGACUGCUGCAACACACCGUAUGAGUAAGGCCUCGUUUGCAUAGUGAUCGCAUCCUGGUGCUGUGAAGGAGGUUUCCUAAGUGCUGUCUCAUUUCCGUCUGUGGGUAAGUUUGCCUUCAUGUAGAAAAGAUGCUACUCUUGGAGUCUUUGGACAGAGACCUGUUUACAUCAGCGUGCCACAGACCUGUCCUCCUGGCAUGCUCAUGUCCUCCCCUGUCUGACUGUGUGGGGCUGUAUCCUGCCCCUCCUAAG